GCAGUGCAGUUUCAGAGACCGUCCUCUUUUUUUCUUCUACUUUCUACUUUGUUUUGCCGUCAACAGACUUUUACACACUCAGGCUGGUGAGCAUCGAUCCAGGGAUAAUGGAGUUAUCACUGAUGGCAGCUCAGAGGCAUUCAGCCUCAGUCAGAGUGUAGGACAGGACAGACUGAAACACCAGAACUGACCUCUUUCUUCACAUACAGUCGGCACAUUACCUGGCUGUGAGCGGGGCCUUCAUGGAUUCACCGUACAAUGGCAACACGUCCCUGCAGACGUCCACCUCCAACCUUAAUGCCGGCUACUCUCGACCUUCAGAAGCAGAGGAUGAUGGGAAAGUGUCCAGUGACACUAUUUGGCUGUGGAUCGCUGUGCUGGCAACCAUUGGCAACAUAGUAGUGGUGGCUGUGGUUUGCGCCUGUGCCUUCUGAAAAGAUAGAAGAGUGGAGCAAAAAUACUGCCACUAUAAUAAUAAUGGGGAAUCUUGUACAUCCUGAAAAUAUAUUUUUCUUCAAAAAUAAUGUAAAAUAGCCUUACUUUUAGAUUAGAUUUUUAAAGAGUUUUAAAAAGGGAAUUUGCAUGGAAUUCUUCAUUCAAAUGCUUUUCACAUUUUUUUCAACAAAUAGAAGAGAGCAACAUUAUUAAAUACAGUUAAAAUAGGAAACACAAAACUAUUUAUUUAUUUGUUUAUUUAAGCUGUCAUUGAAAAUUGAAAUAAUGAUCUGAUGAGACACAAGUAUAACUUUUUCACUUCAGUUCUACAAUGAAACAAUAUUAAAAGAAAAGAAUUAAGGUUAAACAAAAAAACAACAUAGUCACAAUAAGGGACUUCUACAAUGACUACUGAAGCAGAUCUUACUCAAAAUACUGGAUACCAACCAAACAAGACCACACACAGCCAGAUACCAUGCGUGUAUAUCCUUUGUUACACAUUUCAUAUGACUAACCAGCAAGAAAGCUACCCAGCACACAUUUGGAUAAACCAAAUCAAGUUGAUAGAUCUACAGAAAGUUCAAAGACAACCCUGCCAUAUUAAUUUGAGUUUUAGUAGACGCCUUGCUAUAGGAGAACUUCAUUCAUUAACUUAACCCACUCCUCUUCCAGAUCUCUGCUUGUCAGCAACCAGCAACCUUUUAAUCAAAAUAGCUUGAAAUUAUUAGAAGCAGCCGUGGUUUAUUAUUAGAUCUACACUACUAUUACAUUAAAAGGUUUCCUAAUUCAGCUAUUUGUCUUUGCCAUCCAGGUACAGUAUAUGACCCACAACAGUCAAAUACAUACAACACAUAUGUGUGCUUUAAUCACUGGAAAGUAAAUAGGACCAGUGGAACUACAAUCAGAUAAACUUGUCCUCAGGUUUGCCCUUUAUGGUUGCAGACUCUAAAUCGGUCACAGGGAUGUUUAUUUUAGCCAAGAUGAGAACACAGUAACAUUUUUAAUGAGCGUUGGGCAAAAUACUAAAUUCAUUCAUCUUGGAUUCCAG